rnacentral:misc_RNA from 1 species
GGUGAACCUGCGGAAGGAUCAUUGAAUUAUUAAAACCACAAUGCGAACCUAUCUGUUCCGUGCCUUAGCUGCCAGCAAGGCAAUUGGCUUGCCCAAUUGUACUUGCAAGCUGGUGCGAGUAAUUUGAUUACUUGCAUCAGUGGCGCUUUGGCAUGCUUAUACACCAGUGCUAACCACUGUCAAAACCAAACUCUGAAGCUUUGAUUGCUAUUAACUGGCAAUCUUAACCAAAGACAACUCUCAACAACGGAUAUCUUGGCUCUCGCAACGAUGAAGAACGCAGCGAAAUGCGAUACGUAGUGUGAAUUGCAGAAUUCCGUGAACCAUCGAAUCUUUGAACGCAUAUUGCGCUCGAGCCCUCGGGCAAGAGCAUGUCUGCCUCAGCGUCGGUUUAUACCCUCACCCCUCUCUCCUUUUGGAGGGCUGGUCAGCUUCUAGUUGGCCUUAGGGGUGGAUCUGGCUUUCCCAAUUGGUUCACUCCGAUUGGGUUGGCUGAAGCUUAGAGGCUUAAGCAAGGACCCGAUAUGGGCUUCAACUGGAUAGGUAGCACCGGCUUCU